AAGCGGUACGCGAGCUGGGUUCAGAACGUCGUGAGACAGUUCGGUCCCUAUCCGGCGUGGGCGUAAGAUAUUUGAGAGGAGCCGUCCUUAGUACGAGAGGACCGGGACGGACUGACCGCUGGUGUACCUGUUGGAGAGUAACUCCAUGGCAGGGUAGCUAUGUCGGGACGGGAUAAACGCUGAAGGCAUCUAAGCGUGAAGCCCCCCUCAAGAUGGGAUAUCUCAUGUGAAAACAGUAAGACCCCUUGAAGACUACGAGGUAGAUAGGGCCAAGAUGUAAGUACAGUAAUGUAUUAAGUUGAUGGUUACUAAUAGGUCGAGGGUUUAACCAAA
rnacentral:rRNA from 1 species